UCCCUGUUACCAGGGCAGUCUAGCUAGAAAAAUACAACUAACUACAGGGGUUGCGCUCGUUGAAGGACUUAACCUAACAUCUCACGACACGAGCUGACGACGGCCAUGCAACACCUGUCACUUGGUUCCCGAGGGCACUCUCUGCUUUCGCAGAAAUUCCAAGGAUGUCAAACCUGGGUAAGGUUCUUCGUUUACCAUCGAAUUAAACAACACGCUCCACCGCUUGUGCGGGUCCCCGUCAAUUCCUUUAUGUUUUAGUCUUGCGACCGUACUCCACAGGCGGGAUGCUUAACGCGUUAGCUUCGCUACAAGAAGGGUCGAUACUUCUUACAGCUAGCAUCCAUAGUUUACGGCGUGGACUAC
rnacentral:misc_RNA from 1 species